AAUAGAUACCCGGGUAGUCCAUGCCGUAAACGUUGGGCGCUAGAUGUGGGGACCAUUCCACGGUUUCCGUGUCGCAGCUAACGCAUUAAGCGCCCCGCCUGGGGAGUACGGCCGCAAGGCUAAAAACUCAAAGGAAUUGACGGGGGCCCGCACAAGCGGCGGAGCAUGCGGAUUAAUUCGAUGCAACGCGAAGAACCUUACCAAGGCUUGACAUAUACGAGAACGCUCUAGAAACUAGAGAACUCUUUGGACACUCGUAUACAGGUGGUGCAUGGUUGUCGUCAGCUCGUGUCGUGAGAUGUUGGGUUAAGUCCCGCAACGAGCGCAACCCUCGUUCUAUGUUGCCAGCGGUUCGGCCGGGAACUCAUAGGAGACUGCCGGGGUCAACUCGGAGGAAGGUGGGGAUGACGUCAAAUCAUCAUGCCCCUUAUGUCUUGGGCUUCACGCAUGCUACAAUGGCCGGUACAAAGGGCUGCAAUACCGUAAGGUGGAGCGAAUCCCAAAAAGCCGGUCUCAGUUCGGAUUGAGGUCUGC
rnacentral:rRNA from 1 species